rnacentral:snRNA from 1 species
GUGCUUGCUUUGGCAGCACAUAUACUAAAAUUGAGAAGAUUAGCAUGCCCCCUAUGCAAGGAUGACACGCAAAUUCAUGAAGUGUUCCAUAAUUUA